GCUUACGGCCAUACACCCUGAACGCGCCGAUCUCGUCUGAUCUCGGAAGCCAAGCAGGGUCGGGCCUGGUCAGUACUUGGACGGGAGACCGCCUGGGAAUACCAGGUGCUGUAAGCU
rnacentral:rRNA from 1 species